UGUGUCCUGCCAUCCUGCUCUCCUCCAAAAGGGAGAAUCGAUGGAGAAGUUUGGGCACAGCUCUGAGCACAGCCAGCACAGCCUGGGCACGUGGACAGUGGGACAGAGGGGACAGGAUCCUUCUCCAACUGACCGGCCAUUUUCCCCCCAGGCUGCCAGCACCUUAUCAGGUGGUGUUUGUCCAUCCGCCCCUCGGACAGGCCAGCACUGGAAGACCUGUUGUGCCAUCCUUGGGUGCAGGACAUUCCCCGGCCCUAGAAGACGGGAGAGAUCCACGUGCUCCCUUUGAUCCAGGGGCCUGGCAGACAGCUGGGCCCUCGGCAGAACGCUGACAGCCUGGUCUGGCCCCCAGGGAAGGAGAAGGGGCCUCUGCAGAAGCUGUGCCGGGUGGGCCUGCUGCUGGAGACAUCGAGGACGAUGUCAGGGAUGACAAGCUCUCAGCUGACCUGGACGCCGGCGAGCUGAAGAGGAUGGACUUUGAUUCUGGCCCCUUCCUCCAAGCCGUGCUCCACACGCCGUUUGCAGAUGAGUCCACACCCAGGGGGUGCUCCCGGACACGGGCAUUGCUCAGCCUGGCUGGGCACCGAAGGUUCCCCCUUUGCUGAUGGGGAACCUGAGGAAUUCUUCAGCCGGCUGCCAAGCUGCUUCUUGGCAGGAGGGCGGGCGGGUGCUCUGGGCUGGGUGUGAAAUGGGAGCCCGGCUCUGCCCCCAGCCUCUGCCACUGCCCCUUUGCUGGGCGGGGCUGGGGCAGGGGCAGCCAGCCUGCCAAAAACAAACCCCCGUGGGGGGAGCAAAGGCGGGGCUGCAGAACACCAGCUGCUUUGGGCUGCAGGCCACGAAAGGCUUGGGCUGCCUUGGCUUAGGAGCCUUUCUUUGGGCCAGUGCAGCAGGGCAGGGAGAAGGCCUGGGUUUUCCUCAGCUGGAGGAGGUGGGGUUUUCCUUUGGCCUGCAGGGCUUGGGCCUUCCUCAGAACCCUGACAGAAGGUUAACAUUUUACCUUUUUUUCUUGUUUCCACUUUUGGUUUGUAAUCUCUGUUCAUGAAUUUGUUGUUUGUUUUCCAGGGAAGAGUUGGAGCUGGUGCCCAGUCCGGGUUGGGAAGGGCUGGGACCAUCCCUGGAGAGGAUCUGACGUCCCCUCUGAGAAGGCUGAGGACAUCCUUUGGGACACGCUCUUCUUGCGGCAGCAGAUCUUGGGAGGUAGAUGCUCAUCUUGCCCAUCUUGUCAGCAGCAGUGGGAUAAUGGCUUUGGGGAGAUGGCAGCAGGCACAUGAACAUCCCGCUCUUGCAGCUGCUGAGGAGGUUGAUCUCCUGGGCUUGGCUGGAGGAGGUGGCACCUGUGUUGAGUAAUUGCUGAAAUCCAAUCGAUCUGGGAUGACCCCAAAUGACAGUUUAGUUUUCAGCUUGCUCGAGCUGUAUCUCAGCAGCUUUUGGGUAUCAUUUUUGGCCCCCAGACAGGACACCUCUGCCUGAUCUCCCGCGGAUCCGAGGGAUCUCUGGAUCUUCACGCCAGCACCAGGACUUUGCUGCAGAAGAGCACAGAUCCCCAGCCCAGUCUGGGACACAGAACCUGUGAAAGGGCAGAAAGAUUGUGGUGUGAAUGCAGCACCCUCAGAGCCCUUGGUGUGAGCCGGGAAAGGAAAAUCAAGCUGAGGGACAAGAUCAGUCUAAUUUGGGGACAUUGUUGGAGGUUGGAGUUGCAGUUCUGGAAGAAAUCCCUGAGGAAAUGGUGCCCCCGGGGAGAGGAAGAGGACGAGAGCAUGGGCAGCCUGCUUCAAACAUCCCCCCAGGAGACUUGGGAGCAGUCCCUGUGCAUCCUGUAAGAAAGAUGGACACUGGAAAUGGGAUUGUCCGCAAUCCCCCCAGAGAACCCUGAAGGAGACCCCAAAGGACCAACUAAGGACUUGCAAUAGGGGGGGUGACUGUGUAAAGUAAAGUAACAUCUAUGUCUUAAGUAAGGGAGAAUAUCUAAUGAAUCUGGAAACUGUGUGUGUCGUGUAAAGCCCUGUGUGGCUGUCACUGAAGUGCUGAGGCUGAACAACAGGCCCUGAGCCAAAGCUGAGCUCUAGAUGAACCUUCCAACCUAACAGUCUGUUUAUCCCUGUAUUUGCUCCUUAGCUAAAACUGUGUAUGUUUGUUGGUCAAAGAUGCAGUGUGGAAAGACUCCCCGUGUACCUGCCCCUGAACAAAAUAAAUGUGCUUCUUAGUGAGA